CCUACGGGUGGCAGCAGUGAGGAAUAUUGGUCAAUGGGCGCGAGCCUGAACCAGCCACGUAGCGUGAAGGAUGACUGCCCUACGGGUUGUAAACUUCUUUUAUAAAGGCAUAAAGUGAGGCACGUGUGCCUUUUUGUAUGUACUUUAUCAAUAAGGAUCGGCUAACUCCGUGCCAGCAGCCGCGGUAAUACGGAGGAUCCACGCGUUGUCCGGAUUUGUUGGGUGUAAAGGGAGCGUAGAUGGGGUAUUAAGUCAGUUGUGAAAGUUUGGGGCUCAACCGUAAAAUUGCAAUUGAUACUGGCAGUCUUGAGUACAGUUGAGGUAGGCGGAAUUCGUGGUGUAGCGGUGAAAUGCUUAGAUAUCACGAAGAACACCGAUGGCGAAGGCAGCUUACUAAACUGCCACUGACAUUGAUGCUCGAAAGUGUGGGUAUCAAACAGGAUUAGAUACCCCUGUAGUC
rnacentral:rRNA from 1 species